UACGGAGGGGGCUAGCGUUAUUCGGAAUUAUUGGGCGUAAAGGGCGUGUAGGCGGCUUCGUAAGUCUCGUGUGAAAGCCCUCGGCUCAACCGAGGAAUUGCACGAGAAACUGCGUGGCUCGAGUCCGGGAGAGGAUAGUGGAAUUCCGAGUGUAGAGGUGAAAUUCGUAGAUAUUCGGAGGGAACACCAGUGGCGGAAGG
rnacentral:rRNA from 1 species